GACGAAGGAUGCAAGCGUUUAUCCGGAUUCAUUGGGCGUAAAGGGUGCGUAGGUGGCGAGGCAAGUCUUGGUGUGAAAUCCCGGGGGCUCAACCCCCGGAACUGCACUGGAUACUGCUUUGCUAGAGUACUGGAGAGGGAACUGGAAUUUAACGGUGUAGCAGUGAAAUGCGUAGAUAUCGUAAGGAAAGACCAGUGGCGAAGGCGAGUUCCUGGAC
rnacentral:rRNA from 1 species